AAGUCCCCGCGGUUGGAGGAGGAGGAGACGAACAACUAAAGCAAACGAGCUGCCGCAAUCAAAUCAAGUUCAAAUGGAAUCUGAACUGUGAAUUUACUGGACCAAUUCCUGCAGCAAGAGGCAGGCGGCAUGUUUGUUCAGGAAUUUUGCCAGAGUUGAGUAAGCAACCCCUAAUUGAAAUGGUAAUUGUUAAACCAGGUGCCGAUGAUGCAUAUGCUUUCGUUCAUAAACCGUUGAUUCUUCUAUCAGUACUUGCGUGCACUCACAGUCAUGAAUCCACCUGGUAAAUGCUUUUAUCUUAUAUAUAUCUUCGUUUUCAUUCCUUGUAGUAAAUGCUAUGGUUAUUGCAGAAAAGUAGAUUGUAUGGCACAAGAAAACAACAUAUAUUACACUCUCAAUAUUAGUUUACAAACUAUAGAUACUGCAUAUUAUAUAUCAAUUCUCUAAUAUCAGAACUGAUAUAUACAAACCAUUUACACAAGCAAGCACAAAUUUGAAUGAUUAUAAUAUUUGAUUUGCAAACCCUUGAAAAACAAACCAAAAAAUAGUAGGAAAACUCACUGAGCAGUUUUUUAUCGAAAUUUAUCACCCUUAUUUUGGAGAUGGUGGUUUUGGAUGGGAGGAUUUUCCAGUAAUGGCUUUCCUUACCUUGGCAAUUGAAUGCUUCACUUUCGAUCCAACGCCCGACAGUAUGUUGUGUGAUUUCUUGUGUGGAGUUUUCAGGUCUGCAUCUCCCAUAUCCACCAUGACCGGAGCUUCAGAACCCAAGUCUGGUCUUCUUUGCUCACUCGAUUCCUCUUCAUCAUCUUUCUCCUCGUCG
rnacentral:lncRNA from 1 species